AGAGGUAACUAUGUGAAGGAAACUUAGCAUAGAAACUGUGGGUGUGCCUGCACGCGGGACAUUUCACAGAAGUGGCCGGACUUGUCUGCAAACAGAAAUUCCUGCCAAGUGACUGUGCCCAUUCCCAGGGGAAACAUUGCUUGCAAACAAGAAUGUUUAUUAGUUCCUCAAAAGGAACAGUCCUGGGAACAGGAGGGUCUGAAUGUAAUUAAGACAAGGAAGCCUUAGAUGUAGUGCGCAUGCGUCAAUUUAAAAAAUGUUUACUCACUGUGCUUGGCUAGAGUUACUCCUUUGUGUAGAUGGAAUAAAAAAUAAAGGACCCCGACCCUCGGGGGAC